rnacentral:rRNA from 1 species
AGCGAACGCUGGCGGUAUGCUUAACACAUGCAAGUCGAGCGCGAAAGUGACUUCGGUCAUGAGUAGAGCGGCGGACGGGUGAGUAACACGUGGAUAAUCUGCCUUUAGGACUGGGAUAACCCUGGGAAACUAGGGCUAAUACCGGAUAAGACCACAGGUUCCAUGGAACCAGGGGUAAAAGGCGGCCUUCGGGCUGUCGCCGAAAGAUGAGUCCGCGUCCCAUCAGGUAGUUGGUGAGGAACGGCUCACCAAGCCGAAGACGGGUAGCCGACCUUAGCGGGUGAUCGGCCACACGGGGACUGAGACAC